rnacentral:rRNA from 1 species
GACGAACGCUGGCGGCGUGCUUAACACAUGCAAGUCGAACGGAAAGGCCCUGCUUUUGUUGGGUGCUCGAGUGGCGAACGGGUGAGUAACACGUGAGUAACCUUCCCUUGACUUUGGGAUAACUUCAGGAAACUGGGGCUAAUACCGGAUAGGAGCUCCUGCUGCAUGGUGGGGGUUGGAAAGUUUCGGCGGUUGGGGAUGGACUCGCGGCUUAUCAGCUUGUUGUUGGGGUAGUGGCUUACCAAGGCUUUGACGGGUAGCCGGCCUGAGAGGGUGACCGGCAACAUUGGGACUGGGAUACGGCCCAGACUCCUACGGGAGGCAGCAGUGGGGAAUAUUGCACAAUGGGCGGAAGCCUGAUGCAGCAACGCCGCGUGCGGGAUGACGGCCUUCGGGUUGUAAACCGCUUUCGCCUGUGACGAAGCGUGAGUGACGGUAAUUGGUAAAGAAGCACCGGCUAACUACGUG